rnacentral:rRNA from 1 species
UACGUAGGGUGCAGGCGUUAAUCGGAAUUACUGGGCGUAAAGCGUGCGCAGGCGGUUUCUUAAGUCAGAUGUGAAAGCCCCGGGCUUAACCUGGGAACUGCGUUUGAAACUGGGGAGCUAGAGUGUGGAAGAGGGGGGUGGAAUUCCAGGUGUAGCAGUGAAAUGCGUAGAGAUCUGGAGGAACACCGGUGGCGAAGGCGGCUUCCUGGACCGAUCACUGACGCUGAGGCGCGAAAGCUAGGGGAGCAAACGGG